UUGCUAGUAAUCGCGGAUCAGCAUGCCGCGGUGAAUACGUUCCCGGGCCUUGUACACGCCGCCCGUCACACCAUGGGAGCCGGUAAUACCCGAAGUCAGUAGUCCAACCUCGUGAGGACGCUGCCGAAGGUAGGAUUGGCGACUGGGGUGAAGUCGUAACAAGGUACC
rnacentral:rRNA from 1 species